GACGAACGCUGGCGGCGUGCUUAACACAUGCAAGUCGAACGAGUGGCGAACGGGUGAGUAAUACGUGAGUAACCUGCCCUCUUUUUGGGAUAAGCCUGGGAAACGGGGUCUAAUACCGGAUAAAGGGGGUUGGGCUCGCGGCCUAUCAGCUUGUUGGUGGGGUUAGGGCCUACCAAGGCGGUGACGGGUCGCCGGCCUGAGAGGGUGGCCGGCAACAUGGGGACUGAGAAACGGCCCAGACUCGUACGGGAGGCAGCAGUGGGGGAUAUUGCACAAUGGGCGAAAGCCUGAUGCAGCGACGCUGCGUGGGGGAUGAAGGCUUUCGGGUUGUAAACCUCUUUCGCUAUCGAAGGGUAGGUGGAGAGGAAGCGCCGGCUAACUACGUGCCAGCCGCCGCGGUAAUAC
rnacentral:rRNA from 1 species